GAUGAACGCUGGCGGCGUGCCUAAUACAUGCAAGUCGAGCGAACAGACGAGGAGCUUGCUCCUUAGACGUUAGCGGCGGACGGGUGAGUAACACGUGGAUAACCUACCUAUAAGACUGGGAUAACUUCGGGAAACCGGAGCUAAUACCGGAUAACAUGUUUAACCGCAUGGUUCAACAGUGAAAGACGGUCUUGCUGUCACGUAUAGAGGGAUCCGCGCCGCAUUAGCUGGGUGGUAAGGUAACGGCUUACCAAGGCAACGAUUCGUAGCCCACCGGGGAGGGUGGUCGCCCACACUGGAACUGGGACGCGGUCCAGACUCCUACGGGAGGCCGCAGUCGGGAAUGUUCCGCAAUGGGCGAAAGCCUGGCGGAGCAACGCCGCGUGAGUGAAGAAGGUCUUCGGAUCGUAAAACUCUGUUAUUAGGGAAGAACAAAUGUGUAAGUAACUGUGCCCGUCUUGACGGUACCUAAUCAGAAAGCCCCGGCUAACUACGUG
rnacentral:rRNA from 1 species